CAUUACUGAGUUUACGCUCUACAACCCUUUGUGAACAUACCUAUAACUGUUGCUUCGGCGGGUAGGGUCUCCGUGACCCUCCCGGCCUCCCGCCCCCGGGCGGGUCGGCGCCCGCCGGAGGAUAACCAAACUCUGAUUUAACGACGUUUCUUCUGAGUGGUACAAGCAAAUAAUCAAAACUUUUAACAACGGAUCUCUUGGUUCUGGCAUCGAUGAAGAACGCAGCGAAAUGCGAUAAGUAAUGUGAAUUGCAGAAUUCAGUGAAUCAUCGAAUCUUUGAACGCACAUUGCGCCCGCCAGCAUUCUGGCGGGCAUGCCUGUUCGAGCGUCAUUUCAACCCUCAAGCUCUGCUUGGUGUUGGGGCCCUACAGCUGAUGUAGGCCCUCAAAGGUAGUGGCGGACCCUCCCGGAGCCUCCUUUGCGUAGUAACUUUACGUCUCGCACUGGGAUCCGGAGGGACUCUUGCCGUAAAACCCCCAAUUUUCCAAAGGUUGACCUCGGAUCAGGUAGGAAUACCCGCUGAACUUAAGCAUAUCA
rnacentral:rRNA from 1 species